rnacentral:rRNA from 1 species
UACGGAGGGAGCUAGCGUUGUUCGGAAUUACUGGGCGUAAAGGGCGCGUAGGCGGACAGUUAAGUCAGAGGUGAAAUCCCAGGGCUCAACCCUGGAAUUGCCUUUGAUACUGGCUGUCUUGAGUAUGGGAGAGGUAAGCGGAACUCCGAGUGUAGAGGUGAAAUUCGUAGAUAUUCGGAAGAACACCAGUGGCGAAGGCGGCUUACUGGACCGGCAUUGACGCUGAGGCGCGAAAGCGUGGGUAGCAAACAGG